rnacentral:lncRNA from 1 species
AUCCUAUCAAGAUCUCUGCCAGGCACUGAAUCAGUUUGCCAAGCAAAAGAAGGCCACUUAGAGGCAUCUGAAGAGUGUCAACAAGCAUCUUUCCUGCCACGUUAAAAGAAGAAAAAUGGCAAAUCAAAGAAGGUCAAAAACUCCUCCCCUUUCCCCCCCAAAAGUGUUUUUUGGUUCUUCAUUUAAUUAUUCAGCACACACAUGCCAGAGAGUGAGAAGGCCGAGAGCGCAGAAAUUGAAUACAGAUGCCCCUGUGCCCAAGGUCUCGGAGCUCUGGAGAUGAGCCUACCACAAAACCCUGGCCCUCAGCAUGGAUUUGGAUCUAGACUGCAAAUGUU